ACCUGGCUCAGGAUGAACGCUAGCGGCAGGCCUAACACAUGCAAGUCGAGGGGUAAGGAGAGCUUGCUCUCCCUAGACCGGCGUACGGGUGCGUAACACGUGUACAAUCUACCUUUUACUAAGGGAUAGCCCGAAGAAAUUUGGAUUAAUACCUUAUAGUAUUAUUUUAUGGCAUCAUUAAAUAAUUAAAGCUACGGUGGUAAAAGAUGAGUACGCGUCCCAUUAGCUAGUUGGAGUGGUAACGGCACACCAAGGCUACGAUGGGUAGGGGUUCUGAGAGGGAUGUCCCCCACACUGGUACUGAGACACGGACCAGACUCCUACGGGAGGCAGCAGUGAGGAAUAUUGGACAAUGGUCGGAAGACUGAUCCAGCCAUGCCGCGUGCAGGAUGACGGCCUUAUGGGUUGUAAACUGCUUUUAUACAGGAAGAAUAAGGUCUACGAGUAGAUUGAUGACGGUACUGUAUGAAUAAGCAUCGGCUAACUCCGUGCCAGCAGCCGCGGUAAUACGGAGGAUGCGAGCGUUAUCCGGAAUCAUUGGGUUUAAAGGGUCCGUAGGCGGGCGUAUAAGUCAGAGGUGAAAGCACUGAGCUCAACUGAGUAACUGCCUUUGAAACUGUAUGUCUGAAUAGUGUGAUGAGUAGCUGGAAUGUGUAGUGUAGCGGUGAAAUGCAUAGAUAUUACACAGAACACCGAUUGCGAAGGCAUGUUACUAACGACCGAUUGACGCUGAUGGACGAAAGCGUGGGGAGCGAACAGGAUUAGAUACCCUGGUAGUCCACGCUGUAAACGAUGGAUACUAGCUGUUUGGUUUUCGGACUGAGUGGCUAAGCGAAAGUGAUAAGUAUCCCACCUGGGGAGUACGCACGCAGUGUGAAACUCAAAGGAAUUGACGGGGGCCCGCACAAGCGGUGGAGCAUGUGGUUUAAUUCGGAUGAUACU
rnacentral:rRNA from 1 species